rnacentral:rRNA from 1 species
GAUGAACGCUGGCGGCGUGCCUAAUACAUGCAAGUCGAGCGAACAGACGAGGAGCUUGCUCCUCUGUCGUUAGCGGCGGACGGGUGUGUAACACGUGGAUCAUCUACCUAUAAGACUGGUAUAUCUACGAGAAACCGGAGCAUAUACCGUAUAAUCUCUUGAUCCGCAUGGUUCAAUAGUGAAAUACGGUUUUUGUGUCUCUUCUAGAUGGAUCUCCGCCGCAUUAGAUAGUUGGUGAGGUAACGGCUUACCAAGGCAAGGAUGCGUGAACGACGGGAUAGAGUGGUAGGCCGCACGAGAGCGGAGACAGGGUCCAGACGCCUGAGGGAGGGAGCAGUAGCGAAUCUUCCGCAAUGGGCGAAAGCCUUACGCAGCAACGCCGCGUGAGUGAUAGAGGUCCUCGGUUCGUAAAACUCUGUUAUUAGGGAAAAACAAAUGUGUAAGUAACUAUGCACGUCUUGACGGUACCUAGUCAGAAAGCCACGGCUAACUACGUG